GGGGGCGUAGCUCAGUUGGUAGAGCGCCAGCUUUGCAAGCUGGAUGCCGCCGGUUCGAACCCGGCCGCCUCCACCA
rnacentral:tRNA from 1 species